rnacentral:rRNA from 1 species
GAUGAACGCUGGCGGCGUGCCUAAUACAUGCAAGUCGAGCGAACAGACGAGGAGCUUGCUCCUCUGACGUUAGCGGCGGACGGGUGAGUAACACGUGGAUAACCUACCUAUAAGACUGGGAUAACUUCGGGAAACCGGAGCUAAUACCGGAUAAUAUAUUGAACCGCAUGGUUCAAUAGUGAAAGACGGUUUUGCUGUCACUUAUAGAUGGAUCCGCGCCGCAUUAGCUAGUUGGUAAGGUAACGGCUUACCAAGGCAACGAUGCGUAGCCGACCUGAGAGGGUGAUCGGCCACACUGGAACUGAGACACGGUCCAGACUCCUACGGGAGGCAGCAGUAGGGAAUCUUCCGCAAUGGGCGAAGGCCUGACGGAGCAACGCGGCGUGAUGGAUGAAGGUCUUCGGAUCGUAAAACUCUGUUAUUAGGGAAGAACAAAUGUGUAAGUAACUAUGCACGUCUUGACGGUACCUAAUCAGAAAGCCACGGCUAACUACGUG